UACGGAGGGUGCAAACGUUGCUCGGAAUCAUUGGGCGUAAAGCGCACGUAGGCGGCUUCGCAAGUUGGAUGUGAAAGCCCAGGGCUCAACCCUGGAAGUGCAUCCAAAACUGCUUGGCUUGAGUCCCGGAGGGGCCCAGAGAAUUCCCGGUGUAGAGGUGAAAUUCGUAGAUAUCGGGAGGAAUACCAGUGGCGAAGGCGCUGGGCUGGUCGGGUACUGACGCUGAGGUGCGAAAGCGUGGGGAGCAAACAGG
rnacentral:misc_RNA from 1 species